GACCAGGAUGUUGUUGUCGUCACCAGGCACUCCGCCAAGUAAGGGCUUCCUCCUCGGCCACGGGAGAACACUGCCGGGUCCAGGCUGCGGGUCUGGCGGAGCCUCUGCUUGGAGAGGCUCUUCGUGGCUGGAAGGGCUGAGGAACAGGAGAAGACGCUGUUGAGGAGGCUCUGCGCAGACAUCACAGAGGAUGCUUCCCCUCCGGAGGGUCAGGGCCUCACCCGCCGGAGGGACAGAGGGAGACUGUGCCAUGGUGAAAGAAGAGCCCGGACCCCUCCCCUCCUCCAUCCUUCCCUCCAGCCUGGGCUUGGUCCUUUCACAGCCCCAUGCGGCGUGGGCUCCUGUGGGCCCGGGAUAAGCACCUAAUUUGGCCACCGCUGCCUCCUCCUCCUCCUUCUCGACCCCUCUCACUCCGACUCAGGGCACAUAUAAGGCAAACAUUCAAUGCUUUAACAUAGAACAAAGACAAGACAAACACGGGGCUCUGAGCUGGCUUCGAACUCAUGACCUCCUGGUCAGAGUGAUUCAUUGCAGCUGGCUGCAGCUGGUUGCUCAACAGCCUGCGCCACAGCCUGGCCCUAUGCAGUCCAUCCCCUUCCUGCUAAGAACACAUUAUCCUUGGAGCCUUGCCUUUCCCACCACUUUUCUGCUGCACAAGACUGAGCCUCUCCUGGUUUCUCCCUCUCCCUGUACAAGUCUUGGAGGAGCCUUGCCUUUCCGCCUUUACCGCCACUCGAUGGCAGAGACCUUGGCAAGGGAUGUGGAUUGCAAAGCAAGACUGAUUUGCAACCCAGUCUGGAAUCACCAAGUUGACCUAAACGAGUUCAAAUCUGCAGGACCAGACAAACUACAUCUCCAAGCACUGUAGGAACUAGCUGAUGUAUUCAUUGAGCCACUUGCUGUCAUUUGAGAAAUCUUGAAGAACAGGUGAGAUGCCAGAGUAUUGGAGAAAAUAAAACAUUGUCCCUGGCUUCAAAAAAAAAAAGGGGGGGGAGGGGGAAGAGAAAAUCCAGGAAGCCACAGAUCAGUCAGCUUGACCUCAAUACCAGGAAAAAUGUUAGGAAGGAUAAUAUAGGAGUCUGUAAUUAUCUCAAUGACAAUGUAGUGAUCAAUAGGAUCCAGCAUGGGUUUGUCAAAAACAAAUCCUGCAAAACUAAUCUUCCAUAUUUUUAAAAUCAGGUCACUAGUUUAGUUGAAUCACAGAACUGGAAGAGACCCAAGUAACCUCCAGUUUAGCCCCUGCCAGACAAGAAUAAACAGAUGACCAUUCAACCUCUGUUUGAAAAAUGCCCAAAGUAGAUGGUUUGAAUGUUAUGGAUGUCAUUUCUCUGCAUUUCAGCAUUUGAUGAGACCCCCCCCCCAAUAAUAUUUUAAUUAGAAAAUUUAUUAAAUGAGGACUAGAUGGG
rnacentral:lncRNA from 1 species